AUUCCAUGAUGAGGGCAUUUCCAAAAUAGCUCUUUGUAUCGUUUCCAUGCCUCAUACAAGGACUUAUCAUCCAUUUGUUGGAAAGCAGUGAUCUCAUUGCUCAACAU
rfam:Gossypium arboreum cultivar AKA8401 contig_74277_1, whole genome shotgun sequence.